rnacentral:rRNA from 1 species
UACGUAGGGGGCGAGCGUUAACCGGAUUCAUUGGGCGUAAAGCGCGCGCAGGCGGGCUUGCAAGCGGGGCCUUUAAUCUUGGGGCUUAACCUCAAGUCGGGUUCCGAACUGCAAGCCUCGAGUGUGGUAGGGGAAGGCGGAAUUCCCGGUGUAGCGGUGGAAUGCGCAGAUAUCGGGAAGAACACCGAUGGCGAAGGCAGCCUUCUGGGCCACUACUGACGCUGAGGCGCGAAAGCUGGGGGAGCGAACAGG